GAUGAACGCUGGCGGCGUGCUUAACACAUGCAAGUCGAACGAAGCACCUUGAUUCGAUUCUUCGGAUGAAGAUCUUGGUGACUGAGUGGCGGACGGGUGAGUAACGCGUGGGUAACCUGCCUCAUACAGGGGGAUAACAGUUAGAAAUGACUGCUAAUACCGCAUACGACCACAGCACCGCAUGGUGCAGGGGUAAAAACUCCGGUGGUAUGAGAUGGACCCGCGUCUGAUUAGGUAGUUGGUGGGGUAACGGCCUACCAAGCCGACGAUCAGUAGCCGACCUGAGAGGGUGACCGGCCACAUUGGGACUGAGACACGGCCCAAACUCCUACGGGAGGCAGCAGUGGGGAAUAUUGCACAAUGGGGGAAACCCUGAUGCAGCGACGCCGCGUGAGCGAUGAAGUAUUUCGGUAUGUAAAGCUCUAUCAGCAGGGAAGAAAAUGACGGUACCUGACGAAGAAGCACCGGCUAAAUACGUG
rnacentral:rRNA from 1 species